UACGGAGGGAGCUAGCGUUGUUCGGAAUUACUGGGCGUAAAGCGCGUGUAGGCGGCAGCGUGUGUCGGGCGUGAAAUCCCACGGCUCAACCGUGGAAGUGCACCCGAAACUGCGCAGCUAGAGUCCUGGAGAGGAAGGCGGAAUACUUGGUGUAGAGGUGAAAUUCGUAGAUAUCAAGUGGAACACCGGUGGCGAAGGCGGCCUUCUGGACAGUGACUGACGCUGAGACGCGAAAGCGUGGGGAGCAAACAGG
rnacentral:rRNA from 1 species